rnacentral:ncRNA from 1 species
CCUAGUAACGGCGAGCGAACCGGGAACAGCCCAGCUUGAGAAUCGGGCGGCUGUGCCGUCCGAAUUGUAGUCUGGAGACGCGUCCUCAGCGACGGACCGGGCCCAAGUCCACGGGAAAGGGGCGCCUGGGAGGGUGAGAGCCCCGUCCGGCCCGGACCCUGUCGCCCCACGAGGCGCGGUCAACGAGUCGGGUUGUUUGGGAAUGCAGCCCAAAUCGGGCGG